AUGGAAUCGGCCAUGGGGGCGUUGGCCACCCUCCUCCCAAAGCUGGGCAAGCUGCUACUCGAGGAGUACAACCUGAAGAAAACUGUCAAAAAGGGGAUAGGGGAUCUCAAAGCAGAGCUUGAGACCAUGCAGACUGCUCUUGAGAAGGUUUCCGAUGUGCCACUGGACCAGCUUGACUCACAGGUCAAACUGUGGGCUAACGAAGUCAGGGAUCUGUCUUAUGUUAUCGAAGAUAGCCUUGACUCCUUCAUCGGACGCGUCGAGGGGCUUGAGCUAGCGAAAAAGCCCAACCCUCUAAAGGACUUCGUCAAGAAGGCCUAUGACAAGAUCACCAGGUUCAAGGCUCGCAACAAAUUUGUCAAUGGCAUGGAAGACAUCGAGACUCAAAUUAGGAAGGUUAAUGAACGGUUUGCAAGGUACAAAAUCAGCGAUGUUGUUGCUAAUCCUGUGACAAGUACAGUCGAUCCUCGUCAUUUUGCAAUGUAUAGCAAGGUAUCUGCCCUUGUUGGCAUUGACAAAGCAAUUGAGGAGCUGACGAAGAGAUUGUGCAAGGCCGAUGAUCUCCAUAAGAAAAAUCUCAAGACAGUCUCUGGCGUUGGGAUCGGAGGAUUGGGCAAGACAACUGUAGCAAAAGCAUUGUAUGACAAGCUUAACAAGAAAUUUGAUUGUGGGUGUUUUGUUCCAGAUUGUCAGAAUCCUGACAUGAAGAAACUUCUCAAGGAUAUCCUCUAUGAUCUUGACAAGAAAAAGUACAUAAACAUCAUUGGCUCAAAAAUGGAUGAAAAGCAACUCACCGAUGAGAUGCUAGAAUUCCUCAAGGAAAAGAGGUACUUGAUAGUUAUUGAUGACAUAUGGGAUACACAAACAUGGGAAAUUAUUAAAUGCGCUUUGGUGGAUGGUGACACUGGAAGUAGAUUAAUUGCAACUACUCGUAAUUCUGAACUUGCUGAAAAAAUUGGUGGUGUUUACAACAUGAAAUCACUUUCAGAGGAUAACUCCAGAAAGUUAUUCUAUGCAAGAAUAUGCGGCGCUGAAUAUGUUCAAUCUGCUAAAGUGACCGACAAAAUUUUAGGGAAAUGUGGUGGCGUGCCUUUAUCUAUCAUUACAAUAGCUAGCUUGCUUGUUGGUAAACGACGGGAGGACUGGUUGAAGGUGUAUGAGUCUAUUGGAUUUGGGCAUGGAAACAGUGAAGUUGUUAAGAACAUGAGAAAGAUAUUGUGUUUUAGCUUUUACGAUCUUCCUUCUCGUUUAAAGACUUGUUUGUUGCACCUAAGCAUGUUUCCAGAAGAACAUUUGAUUUGGAAACAUGAGUUGAUAUGGAUCUGGAUUGCCGAAGAUUCUUGUCGUGUUCAUGACAUGAUAUUGGAUCUAAUCCGGAACUUCUCAAGUGAAUUGAGAUUUGUUGGAAUACAUGGUAUUGAGCUGGAGCAGAGCCCAUGUUUACCAAGUACAGGCAGCAGUUUUCGCAGACUAGCCGCCCACAGAAGAAGUUGUCGUCUUAAGCAUCUUGGAAAGUUGGUUCAGCUAAGGUACCUAGGGCUGAUUAAUACACCUGUUGCGGAGGUCCCAAGGAAAAUAGGUCAUGAUCUCAAGUUCUUGCAGACAUUGGACAUAUGUCGGAGUGGCAUAAAAGAAUUGCCGCCAUCUAUUGGCGAGCUAAGCAAACUAAUGUGCCUGUAUACCAGUAGGGGCACAAGAAUGAUGGGUGUGAUAGGAAAGCUGACGUCCCUGGAAGAGCUUGUGCUAGCCUUAGUGGACAACUGCUCAAAUUUUGUCAGAGACCUGGGUAAGCUGAAGGAGGUGAGGGAGCUUGUGAUCCAUUUCGAUGAUAUGGACAAGCAAACACAUAAGGCUUUGCUAGAAUCUCUAUGCAACCUGGUGGAGGUGGUCGAAGCAUCCGAUUUUCAAAUGCUUGGGAAGCUGCAGUUCCCCCGCUUCCUCAGUCUGAUGGGUAAUGAGGGUAACUGCUUACUAGUAUAUACUGUUCCUAGUGGUGAGUUUGAGAAGUUGAGAUAUUUGGAGACAAGCAUCAUAGAGAUCAUUUGUAGAGGAGAGGGAGUGCUCCCAAUGCUUGAAAAAUUGAAAUGUCAUGCAAGCGUGGGAAUUAGAAAGGAUGACGUUGGUAGGUUGGUGCAGGAGAACAUGCCUAUGCUCCAGGAACCUUCUUCCCAAAAUGAAAGUACCAGCAGUGCUGUUCCUCUGGACAUGUCAAAAGAAAAAACUGAAGAGAAGAAAAGACCCUCAAUUGGAGUAACGGGAGAGCUUGUUAAACCUGGUGUAAGUUGCAGGUCUGAACCGCUAGGUCUUGGUCUUGGUGGAGGCCUGCCGCAGCCUAAGAGAAGGAGCAGAACAGGAAAGCCAUCUGGGAUUAGUGGUGAUCCUACCAGCAAAAGCCAAGAAGUUGUUGGGGCAAGCAGCAUCAGGACUAUGGAUUCUCACUCUCUAUCCUAA
rnacentral:rRNA from 1 species